UGCUGUUGGCAGCAUCCUCAGCUCUCAGGGAGUGCCCAUCAACUCUGGGGGCUUUGGCCUCUCUGGCCUGGGCAGUGGCCUCUGUGGCAUCAGGUCCUUCCCCUGCUAAAGCUGCUGGUGAUGGCCCUGGGGAAGGGACCCAGGGACACCCAGGAUGGAGCCACUCUGGGGACACAGCAUUGGCUUGUUUCUUCCCGAGGGGCUGAGCACCCCCAGCAGCCCUGGCAGAAGGACAGGGCCAGCCUGGGCUCUCGGGAAGCACGGCCCAUCCCUCCCCUCUUCCCUCUUCUCCUCUUUCCUUUUCCCCCUGUGUCCCUGUUCCCCUGUGCUCCCCUGGGCAGUGAUCCCCACACGGCCAUCCUGUGGAGGAACUGCUGGGCCUGCUCCCUCUCUGGUCCAGGGAGAUGAACAUCUGGAGUGUUCUCAGCCACAGCAAUGGGGCACAAUCUCUUAUCUGCCCCUGGUCCUCACUGCACCAUGACCAUUGCUUGAAAUGACCUAAUUUCCCUCUCUUGACUCAUUAAAGUUCUACUGCAUUUGA